AAAGGUAGCGUAAUCAUUAGUUUUUUAAUUGAAAGCUUGUAUGAAUGGUUGGACGAGGUAAAUACUGUCUUUAUUUAAUUUAAUUUAGAAUUUAACUUUUGAGUGAAAAGGCUUAAAUUUUAUUAAUAGACGAGAAGACCCUAUAGAUCUUUAUAAGUUAGUAAUUAAUUGUCUUAGGAUUAUUUAUUGAUUAAUUAUAAACCUUAUUUUAUUGGGGUAAUAUGAAGAUUCAAUGAAUUCUUUGAUUUACGAACAGGGAUAACUGGUUAAUUGAUCCAUUAUUAUUGAUUGUAAGAUUAAGUUACCUUAGGGAUAACAGCGUAAUUUUUUUGGAGAGUUCAUAUCGAUAAAAAAGU
rnacentral:rRNA from 1 species